rnacentral:rRNA from 1 species
UUCCGGUUGAUCCCGCCGGACCUGACUGCUAUCGGAUUGAUACUAAGCCAUGCGAGUCAUUGCAGCAAUGCAAGGCAGACGGCUCAGUAACGCGUAGUCAACCUAACCUAUGGACGGGAAUAACCUCGGGAAACUGAGUAUAAUGCCCGAUAGAACACUAUACUUGGAAUGGUUUGUGUUCCAAAUGAUUUAUCGCCGUAGGAUGGGACUGCGGCCUAUCAGUUUGUUGGUGAGGUAAUGGCCCACCAAGACUAUUACAGGUACGGGCUCUGAGAGGAGUAGCCCGGAGAUGGGUACUGAGACACGGACCCAGGCCCUAUGGGGCGCAGCAGGCGAGAAAACUUUGCAAUGUGCGAAAGCACGACAAGGUUAAUCCGAGUGGUUUCUGCUAAAGGAACCUUUUGUUAGUCCUAGAAACACUAACGAAUAAGGGGUGGGCAAGUUCUGGUGUCAGCCGCCGCGGUAAAACCAGCACCUCAAGUGGUCAGGAUGAUUAUUGGGCCUAAAGCAUCCGUAGCCGGCUCUGUAAGUUUUCGGUUAAAUCUGUACGCUCAACGUACAGGCUGCCGGGAAUACUGCAGAGCUAGGGAGUGGGAGAGGUAGACGGUACUCGAUAGGAAGGGGUAAAAUCCUUUGAUCUAUUGAUGACCACCUGUGGCGAAGGCGGUCUACCAGAACACGUCCGACGGUGAGGGAUGAAAGCUGGGGGAGCAAACCGGAUUAGAUACCCGGGUAGUCCCAGCUGUAAACUAUGCAAACUCAGUGAUGCAUUGGCUUGUGGCCAAUGCAGUGCUGCAGGGAAGCCGUUAAGUUUGCCGCCUGGGAAGUACGUACGCAAGUAUGAAACUUAAAGGAAUUGGCGGGGGAGCACCACAAGGGGUGAAGCCUGCGGUUCAAUUGGAUUCAACGCCGGG